rnacentral:tRNA from 1 species
UGGUAGCUCAGUUGGUAGAGCAUGGUGCUUGUAACACCGGGAUAGUGGGUUCAAAUCCCAGAUCCA